rnacentral:misc_RNA from 1 species
AAGUCGUAACAAGGUUUCCGUAGGCGGAAGGAUCAUUAACACCUAUCCAACGUUAAAACCCGUACGCUUUGUUAGAAAGUAGCAAUUCCUGGUAAAUCAUCGCCAAACAGUUUUGAUAUUCAGGGACUUCGCGAAGAGUGUGCUUGUCUGGCAUCCUUGGCUGAAAGUGUUAAGGGUGGCGCAGUCACGAUCGCUAGAGGCCGCCGGCGACCACCAGGCUCACGCCCCUUCGUGCCUUUGCAUGAAAACUAAUUGUGCGGCCAUAAACCGAACAACUGUUAACAAUGGAUAUCUUGGUUCUC